rnacentral:lncRNA from 1 species
GACAAAGGUUUUGAAACAAAAGAAACCCGGGCAACUAUGCUAUUACGAUUUACGAAGCUUAAUGAUGUUUGUCAUCUCAUUAUCUAUGGGUCAUUUGAUUAAAGACUAAAUUUUGAUCUACAGGGUGUAUAAAAAAACGCAACUCGGAAUUUCCCAAGAAAUCGACAUUGUUUUAAAGACAAAAGACUUUAGGCGCCUGGGAGUUUAAAAUAGCACAACUGUCAAAAUUACUGCACACGCGAGUACAUAAAGCAAAAUUUAUGCAUUUAUUUUUUCAAAAUUUAUGCAUACACAACGACAGUAAUAUGAUCUAUUAGCAAUGCGAUUUCAAUUCCCAGGGGCCUAAAAUCUUUUAUGCUUAAGAAUUGCAGAAUGAUUUCUUAGGAAAUUCCGAGGUUGCGUUUUUUUUUAUACACCCUGUAGACAAAAAUUUCAUCACAGCUUGAAAGAGCAUCACAAAAUUAGUAAUAUUCCAAAGUUUCGUUGCGAAAUGUUGUAAAAUGCGAAUAAUAUAGCCUUGCGAAAUUUGCAAUUUUCAGUCAUUUUGUAUUACAAACGGGAAAUUGAUGCCCCAACACCCGAUUGGGCUGUCAAUUUCCCGUGCUUAAUGCACCAAUUCGUUAAGCAAAUAUUCUAGGACAAUUAAGAAAACAACUAUGACACACACAAUGUUGUGGGAGAAGGGUUGUCGAGGAGAAAUGCUCCGAUUAUACUUUAAACUGUGGCCAAAGUGUCGCCCCACAGACUCACUAUUACAGCAAUAUGAUUAUGAUAUAAUUAUAUGUCCUCAGGGGGUCGUAGUUCCCCCAUGUUGGACUUUACCCAAGGGGUAGUAGAUCCCCGAGAUGGGCAUCUUAAAUGUCCAAGGGGUAGUAGAUCCCCGUGAUGGUCAUUGUUUACUUUAAUGUCCAAGGGGUAGUAGAUCCCCGUGAUGGUCAUUGUUUACUUUAAUGUCCAAGGGGUAGUAGAUCCCCGUGAUGGUCAUUGUUUACUUUACAAUACACUGUAUAAUACAUUGAUUUGUCUGAGUCUAUGGUGUUGAGGGUGACCUUUGGGAGCACUCCAUCCCCACAAAUACACAGCAUGUGUAUUCCCCAUAGACGAAAAAACCACACUGUAAUCGCACCACACCUGUAACACCCACCACAACUGUAAUCGUAUAGAAGACAGAUGAUCUUUGUGCUUUUCGAAGACAUGUCGUCUAUAUUUCUCUUUCGACACACUUUAAAUAACUAAUUGAUUAAAAUCAUGUCAUAUGCAAAUAGAUUUUUUUUUUUAACUACAAGUUGAUCGUAAGACAUAUAUUUGAGCAUUACCAUCACUCAUACUACAGCUGGAACAUCAGGGACGCCAGGAAAAACCUGCAAUAUCUUUACAGGAAACCUGGAUGGGGCCAAGACAACCAGCAGCUUCCCCACAAAGCUUCUAUCUUACAGGUGCUUGAUUGGAGGGUUGGUAACACGACAAACAAAGCUCACCAUCAUUUUCUUGUUUUUUGUUUUCCUUACAAUUUAUUUAUUUUUAAUGUCAAUGAAAAAUCGCAGAGGCGACUGCGUUUCGAAGCUCAUUGUGUGGAAUUAUGGCAACCCAACGUUGUAGUCUUUCGACCACUGGACAGAUUUAAAUGCGCUUAUCCUUCAACGAAGGAUGAGUGAGAAACGGCAAACUUCGCAAGGCUAUAUUAUCCGCAUUUUACAACAUUUCACAACGAAACUUUGGAAUAUUACUAAUUUUGUGAUGCUCUUUCAAGCUGUGAUGAAUUUUUUGUCAAGAUCAAAAUUUAGUCUAUAAUGCAAAUGGUCCAUUGUCUUAAUUGCAUUCGAUGCGACCAAAAUUCGACGUAUAAAACGGCCCUAAAGCCGGUUUUCCACUAGCGAAUUUUUUCCGCGCGAAGCGACCUUUUUCCUUUGUCGGCAUCCAUUUUGCC